AAGUCGAUCUGCCCAAUGAAAUAUUUGAAUGGCUGCAGUAUAACUGACUGUACAAAGGUAGCAUAAUCAAUUGAUUUUUAAAUGAAAUCUGGAAUGAAAGGAUUAAUGAAAUAUAAACUGUCUCACAUAUAUUUUAUGAAUUUAAAAUUUUAAUAAAAAUGUUAAAAUUUUUUUAUGGGACGAUAAGACCCUAUAGAAUUUUAUACUAAUUUAUUUUAAUACUUAAUAUAAAAUUUAAAUUAGUAUUUGAUUGGGAGGAUUAUUAAAUUUAUAAAACUUUUUAAAUUAUGUAAACUUUAAUUUAAGAAAUUAUAAUGAUCUUUAAUUUAAAAUAUUUAGAAUAAAUUACCUUAGGGAUAACAGCGUAAUACUUUUUUAUAGACCACAUAGAAAAAAGUGAUUGCGACCUCGAUGUUGAAUUAAGAUAAAUUUUAAACGCAGGAGUUUAAUAAUUAAGUCUG
rnacentral:rRNA from 1 species